UCUGGUAACUAUGGCAAGAAGGUCACACCCGUUCCCAUACCGAACACGGAAGUUAAGCUUCUCAGCGCCGAUGGUAGUUGGGGCAUGCGCCCCUGUGAGAGUAGGACGUUGCCAGGC
rnacentral:rRNA from 1 species